CCAAUUGAAGGACCUGGAUCUACGAGCACAAACACACUGAGGAGAUUACUGCCAACGCCGCACUUCGAACUGCUGGGCAAACGAAGAACAUGGGUGACACCGUAUCAAGAGGUGCAGACGUCAAGGCCCGCACCUGAAUCAAAUGACGCACCUGAAGAAUGAACACGGUGAGAAGUCUUGUUAAGAAGACGUAAAACAUUGAACCCUCGCCGAAAGGUAAGAUCAGUAGUUAUCCAUAUUUAUCCUUUCUGCAUUCCCUUUUCCCUUUAAUUAUUUACUUUCCUUAAAUAGAUUAUUAGUUAAUCAUGCUAUCUUGAAAAGAAAAUAAAAAUGUUAAAAAAUACUAAGCCCCUUGUGAGUAUACGAGUGGCAUAAAACCCAUAAGUACCUUCACUGUGGUGGCAUAAAAAUAAAAUAAAUAUUUCUUUUCUGCUUUAUAAAAUGAAAAUAUAAAAAUAGUUAGUAAUAUUUAUUGAGGAAGCUCAAC
rnacentral:lncRNA from 1 species